GUGCACAUGGCUGUGCGCAUCAUGCGUUGGCGUGUGAUACGUGCAAAAAAAUAAAAUAAAAACAGUUAAUAUAGGAAAUGGAGAUGGCAAUAUGGAUAUGGUUACGUGGGUCAAGACUUGGUCAUUUUAUUUGAUUUAAGUUUAUUUAUUUUGUUUAGAUAAUAUUAGUGGGUUAGUUUGUUGUUAGUGUUUUCCUAUUUUUUAGCUUAGUGAAUUUGCUUAAGUCUAUUUAAUAGGCGCUUGAAUUGUAUUAGUUAUUAUGAGGAACGAAGAAAAUUAUAUCUCUCUCUUGAAUCUUUCUCCCACGGCUUCUCUGCUUUUCUUUUUACUGCAAUUUGCAGUAGGUUUCCUUCCCCCUAAAUUCCAUCCCUAUCAAUGGUAUCAGAUCUGGUUCCGACCAUGGAUGUGGUCCUAACUCAAAUCGAGUCUAGGUUAUUCCAAGUUUAGUCAACUCUCGAAAGGAUGCGUAAUGAACUUUGAUCCAUCCCCAAGCUCUUGAAUCUAUCAUCUUCCUCUACCAAGACCAAUAGCUGUAACGUGGCCAGCGCUCGCUGUAAGAUGGCAGCAGCUCCUGCGAAGGCGACCAUGAUAGUGCUAGUCCUAGCACCGGCAAUCCAGCAAGGGCCUUUCCGACAGCCUAGCAGUGGCAACCACAACAGCCUCUGCAACAACGUCUACCGGUGUGCUUUCUUAGCUAGGAAAAGCAUUCAAUGGGUCUAUACAUUCAAUUUUGUUCAGAGAAUUAAGUUGGACUAAGUAAUUACUCUCAGCCUCAGGAUCAACUGACAUUAUUGAUGUUCUUACUAAUGAAGGAACAAGGCAAGAAGAAGAUGAUUGGGCAUGCUAGAGAGAGACCUGGUCUUUACUAUCUCGAAACAUCUCAGGGGGGGAGACAUCAUUCUUAGAGGAUAAGGACCAGGGUGAUAAGGAUGUUUUCUUCCUUGAUUUUCCGAUCUUCUUAAAUCAAAAUCCUCAACCUAGGACAAACAGUCCAAUCUCAGCUUCCCAACCUAAAUCAACCAGUCUAAAGAAUGAAGAAAUGAAGGGAAAACCAGCUCAACUCUUUACCGGACCCUGCAGGUCUACUCAAGGAGAAAGGCAGUCACUCAAUCUAUGUCAGUUCAACCAUCGAAUUAUGUCCCUGGUCUUGAUCCUAAAAGUAUUGAGAUGCAGAUUAUGCAAGUUGCUUGGAUUAUAGGAGAUCAACCAAUGGUUUUUUGUCUCUUUCUUAGAGGUAAUCUAAUAACUUCAAGCUCCAAGAAACAAUCAGUGGCAUCAAGAUCAAGUGUUGAAGCAGGGUACUAAGCGCUUGUUAAUGGAACAUAAAAAAUUCUAUGGUUUUAGUCUUUAUUCAUUGAGUUGGGUUUUCCUUUGCCAAGUUGUCCUAUAAUCUGGUGUGAUAACCUUUUGCUAAGCUUUUAUCUGAAAAUCCUGUUUAUCAUGCUUGCUCCAAACAUCUUGAGGUUGAUGUUCACUUUCUUCAUGAGAAGAUUGCCAACAAACAAAUUGAAGUGAGAUUUGUUCCUAUAGAGUUUUAACUUGCAGAUUUCCUAACCAAGGCUCUUACUUUGUCUCAAUUUACAUUUUUGUAUUCCAAACUCAACAAAGUUUCUUAGUUUGCUUACAGUGCAACUCAACAAAGUUGGUUAGUUUGGUAAUCUAGUUAGGGUUACUGAUAUAAAAGCAUUCUACCAAUAAUUUUUGAAAUUCAUUAUAUUAUUACAUUCUUGAGAAAAUUUCUCUGGUUUCUUCUUCAUCUUCCUUUCUCUCUGUUACUUCUUAUUUCCUUUUCUACUUGUUCAAUUUCCAUUUUCUCACAAUGUUGCUAUUGAUUUAGAGGGUUCUAUAACAUAUUGAAGAUUUCAUACAUUUCUCUCCAGCAAGGUAUGCUCCAGAUCUGGUAUCCCUCUUCAUAUCGAUCACUCUUCGUAAAAACACCCCUUUCUCGAGUAGAUCAAUCCCCUCAAGGAAAAAACCCUUAUUUGUUCGGUCUUUAUGCAUCCUUCUUAUUGCAUUUGUUAAUGUUCUUGUUGCCACUCUGUUUUCUCACUCUAUUUAGUUUCCUGAAAUGCAGUUAAGAUGUUUGACAAAAUGACUAAUCAGAGGAUGUAUGUUAGGUUCUACAGCUUGUUCAUUGUUGUUGUUUUUCUUUCUACUCUAUUGUCUCAAUCCAUGUAGAAUACACUUAAGAUGUUCAACAAAAUAUUAUUGAAUAGAGUAUUCGGGUGAGAUUCUAUUGCUUGUUGGAGGUGAUAGUAUUUGAAAAUGGGUAGUGACAAUUUAAGGUGCCCAAUUAUGUAAAAACAAAUAUAUUCCUCUCUUAAUGAUUUUAAGUCCAAUUGUGUUAUAAUAAGAUGUCAAUUUGCAUAUUGUUGUUAAAGAAGUUGAGAAACAUUGCCUUCAAGUAGCAGCAGCAGCUGGAGUCCCCAAAACAAUUGAUAAUGAUAUUAUUGCAAGUCAUAUGAACUAUAUCUUAUCUCUUUGUCAAUGUUGUAUCCUUUUUCUUCCUGUCUAUGUGGUUGUGGCGCAUUUGCAAAUCUGAGGCUGAGCUACUAUACCUUGACAUGACUUAAGGCAACUGAAAGAUACAUUUAGGACCUUAAGGUACAACAAGUCUUUAUCAAGCAUGUAAUAACAUCGUUGAACCUUUUUUGGACAACAAGAAGAAUAUACGCGGUUAGUUUGCGUCUAAUGAAGGGAUUAUGCAUGCUCUUUAACAGUAGGUUUUCCUGUAGUUAGAACCUCUCUCUCUCUCUCUGGUAGGGAUGUAAUUAUGAUCUGCUUCAUAUACAUCUCGAUUAAGAUAAAUAUUGUUUAUGAUUUGGGUUAGCAUUACAAAUAUAUAAGGAGUUAGGUUUAUUGCUUCAAACACUUUCUCAUCCCUCUACAUUGAAGACUUGAUGGAGAACAUUUUUGUUAACUUUGGGGACGGGGAAGACGAUCCCGCCAUUGACAAAGUUGUCCGACAACAUGCAAACUUUCUUAAAUAAUGCAUACUGAUCUUGCGCCCCCCUCGAGUUCAUUGAUAUGUAGAGGAACUUGCCAUUGCUCAUUGUCACUCUUAUUUCUUCUCUCUUCGCGUUCGAAACAAUGAGAGUGUAUAUCCAUGCAGUGAGAGUCUGACUCUCAAUGAUUUUUGUCUUCCCUGUUGGCUCAAUUUCGACCACACAGAAGUUGUUUAGAUCAUCUACUUACCGACUGGCACGGCAUUGCCGACGGUCGAUGAAGCCUUGCCUUUCCACUUUCCAAAAACCGAACAAUGACAUCUUUGAGUGGUUUCAAUUCAACAGUGAGCAUCAAUUGUUCUUGGCCUUUUAUAAGUUGGUUAAUUUUGAUCUUGGCACGGUCUUUUAUUCAUGAUAAUGAUUCUUGUCACACAGGCAUGCAUGGAAUUAAGUCUAUUGUGGCAUGCGAAUCAUUAGAAACACAUUUAAGAUGGAUGUAACUUAAUUUGGAUGUCUUGGUUUGGAUAUUUUUCUUAAUUUUAUAGUUUUCCAUAUAUGUUAGCUACUUUCCUGUUUAUAUACAUAGCUUAGUUUUGUUUGUAUCACAUUACUUUUGUUUACGUAUGUUAGUUUUGUUUUUAUAGCAUUAACUUUUUUUAACCAGUAAUAGUAAAAUAAAAACCUCAUUAUGAUAAGUUAUUUUGU